GCUCACUUCAGCAGCGCAUAUACUAAAAUUGUAACAAUACAGACAGGAUUAGCAUGGCCACUACGCAAGGAUGACAUGCAAAUUCGUGAAGUGUUCCACAUUUUU
rnacentral:snRNA from 1 species